rnacentral:rRNA from 1 species
UACAGAGACUGCAAGCGUUAUUCGGAUUCACUGGGCGUAAAGGGUGCGCAGGCGGCCAAGUGUGUUAGGCGUGAAAGCCCGAGGCUUAACCUCGGAAUUGCACCUAAAACUACAUGGCUAGAGUACUGGAGAGGGUAACGGAAUUCACGGUGUAGCAGUGAAAUGCGUAGAUAUCAGGAGGAACACCUGCGGUGUAGACGGCUUUCUGGACCAUUGCUGACGCUGAGACACGAAAGCGUGGGUAGCAAACAGG